CCGGGUUGCGGACAGUGUCUGGUGGGUAGUUUGACUGGGGCGGUCUCCUCCUAAAGAGUAACGGAGGAGCACGAAGGUUGGCUAAUCCUGGUCGGACAUCAGGAGGUUAGUGCAAUGGCAUAAGCCAGCUUGACUGCGAGCGUGACGGCGCGAGCAGGUGCGAAAGCAGGUCAUAGUGAUCCGGUGGUUCUGAAUGGAAGGGCCAUCGCUCAACGGAUAAAAGGUACUCCGGGGAUAACAGGCUGAUACCGCCCAAGAGUUCAUAUCGACGGCGGUGUUUGGCACCUCGAUGUCGGCUCAUCACAUCCUGGGGCUGAAGUAGGUCCCAAGGGUAUGGCUGUUCGCCAUUUAAAGUGGUACGCGAGCUGGGUUUAGAACGUCGUGAGACAGUUCGGUCCCUAUCUGCCGUGGGCGCUGGAGAACUGAGGGGGGCUGCUCCUAGUACGAGAGGACCGGAGUGGACGCAUCACUGGUGUUCGGGUUGUCAUGCCAAUGGCACUGCCCGGUAGCUAAAUGCGGAAGAGAUAAGUGCUGAAAGCAUCUAAGCACGAAACUUGCCCCGAGAUGAGUUCUCCCUGAGACUUAGAGUCUCCUGAAGGAACGUUGAAGACGACGACGUUGAUAGGCCGGGUGUGUAAGCGCAGCGAUGCGUUGAGCUAACCGGUACUAAUGAACCGU
rnacentral:rRNA from 1 species